rnacentral:rRNA from 1 species
GACGAACGCUGGCGGCGUGCUUAACACAUGCAAGUCGAACGAAGUGGCGAACGGGUGAGUAACGCGUAAUAAACCUGCCCUUCAGAGGGGGACAACAGUUGGAAACGACGGCUAAUACCGCAUACGGAAGAAGGGGAUUGCGUCGGAUUAGCUAGUUGGAGGGGGAACGGCCCACCAAGGCGAUGGUUAGUAGCCUGUCUUAGAGGAUGAACGGCCAAAUUGGGACCUGGACACCGGCCAAGCUCCUAAGGGGAGCAGGAGGGGGGAAUCUUUCGCAAUGGACGAAAGUCUGACUGAGCAAAGCCGCGUGAGUUAUGACGGCCUUCGGGUUGUAAAGCUCUGUUAAUCGGGACGCGGUACCGGAAGAGAAAGCCACGGCUAACUACGUGCCAGCCGCCGCGGUAAUAC